CAAUAGCGUAUAUUAAAGUUGUUGCGGUUAAAAAGCUCGUAGUUGGAUUUCUGCUGAGGACGAUCGGUCCGCCCUCUGGGUGAGUAUCUGGCUCGGCCUUGGCAUCUUCUUGGAGAACGUUACUGCACUUGACUGUGUGGUGCGGUAUCCAGGACUUUUACUUUGAGGAAAUUAGAGUGUUUCAAGCAGGCGCACGCCUUGAAUACAUAAGCAUGGAAUAAUAAGAUAGGACCUUGGUUCUAUUUUGUUGGUUUCUAGAGCUGAGGUAAUGAUUAAUAGGGAUAGUUGGGGGCAUUCGUAUUUAACUGUCAGAGGUGAAAUUCUUGGAUUUGUUAAAGACGGACCACUGCGAAAGCAUUUGCCAAGGAUGUUUUCAUUGA
rnacentral:rRNA from 1 species